AGGCUUCAGCAGCACAUAUACUAAAAUUAUGAGCAAUACAGAGAAGAUUAGCUAUGGCCUCUGUGCAAGGAUGACACGCAAAUUUGUGAAGCGUUCCUUUCUUAU